AGCGGCUGGCUGGCCCCGGGGCAGCCCUCGGGGAGCAGCCCGGCUCUCCAGGGGAAGGGUCCCAGCCGGCAGCUGCACCCCGUCACUGUGACAGCGCCAUCAGCGUCCGUCCUUGUCGGAGCACAUCACCCCUGAGGUGAUUUUGAAGAGGAGGCUGAAGAUGUCUUUUCUCUGUCAUCUUAAAACUGGAAGUCCUACUACACACUAAAUUGUGCCUUGAAAGUGUACAGAACAAGAUGAAAAUCCUACCUGAAAGAGCCAGCAACCCAACUGGAAGAGCUUGUAGUAUCAAUUUUGUUAC